UACGUAGGGUCCGAGCGUUGUCCGGAAUUACUGGGCGUAAAGAGCUCGUAGGUGGUUUGUCGCGUUGUUCGUGAAAAACUCACAGCUCAACUGUGGGCGUGCGGGCGAUACGGGCAGACUGGAGUACUGCAGGGGAGACUGGAAUUCCUGGUGUAGCGGUGGAAUGCGCAGAUAUCAGGAGGAACACCGGUGGCGAAGGCGGGUCUCUGGGCAGUAACUGACGCUGAGGAGCGAAAGCGUGGGGAGCGAACAGG
rnacentral:rRNA from 1 species